rnacentral:rRNA from 1 species
UACGUAGGGGGCUAGCGUUGUCCGGAUUUAUUGGGCGUAAAGAGCGUGUAGGCGGCCAUGUAGGUCCGUUGUGAAAACUCGAGGCUCAACCUCGAGACGCCGAUGGAAACCAUGUGGCUAGAGUCCGGAAGAGGAGAGUGGAAUUCCUGGUGUAGCGGUGAAAUGCGCAGAUAUCAGGAGGAACACCGGUGGCGAAGGCGGUUCUCUGGGCCUUACCUGACGCUGAGGAGCGAAAGCGUGGGGAGCGAACAGG